UGGCGGACGGGUGAGUAACGCGUGGGCAACCCGCCUUACACAGGGGGAUAACACUUAGAAAUAGGUGCUAAAACCGCAUAAGCGCACAGCUUCGCAUGAAGCGGUGUGAAAAACUCCGGUGGUGUAAGAUGGACCCGCGUCUGAUUAGCUUGUUGGCGGGGUAACGGCCCACCAAGGCGACGAUCAGUAGCCGGCCUGAGAGGGCGGACGGCCACAUUGGGACUGAGACACGGCCCAGACUCCUACGGAAGGCAGCAG
rnacentral:rRNA from 1 species